rnacentral:rRNA from 1 species
UGGGGAAUUUUGGACAAUGGGCGCAAGCCUGAUCCAGCCAUGCCGCGUGCGGGAAGAAGGCCUUCGGGUUGUAAACCGCUUUUGUCAGGGAAGAAAUCUUCUGAGUUAAUACCUCGGGAGGAUGACGGUACCUGAAGAAUAAGCACCGGCUAACUACGUGCCAGCAGCCGCGGUAAUACGUAGGGUGCAAGCGUUAAUCGGAAUUACUGGGCGUAAAGCGUGCGCAGGCGGUUUUGUAAGACAGAGGUGAAAUCCCCGGGCUCAACCUGGGAACUGCCUUUGUGACUGCAAGGCUUGAGUGCGGCAGAGGGGGAUGGAAUUCCGCGUGUAGCAGUGAAAUGCGUAGAUAUGCGGAGGAACACCGAUGGCGAAGGCAAUCCCCUGGGCCUGCACUGACGCUCAUGCACGAAAGCGUGGGGAGCAAACAGGAUUAGAUAGCCCCUGGUAGUCCACGCCCUAAAACGAUGUCAACUGGUUGUUGGGAAGGUUCCUUCUCAGUAGCGUAGCUAACGCGUGAAGUUGACCGCCUGGGGAGUACGGCCGCA